CACAAUAUCUGCAGCAGGAACUGCAUCAAAUCAACAAAACUUCUUUUGCAAAACUACCAAAAAUCCUCCCGACUCGAGUGUUCUGCCUCAUGAAAUGAAUACAGAAGGAGCAGCAGAAUCAAAGGAGACUUCCCGGGCCUCAAGAUAUCAGACAGAGCCAGCAGGCCGCGAGUAAUCCCAAUAUUGGAUUUGUGUUUUGAUGAAUGAAAAUCAAGCAUAAUUUUUUGUUUGUUCCGUCUCGUCCUUCCUUGUUUGAACGUCUCGCUCGGGGCAACUUUUUUUGUAAAAUUACGAUAGAUCAACAUAAUUUAAAUGACCCGGGGCUAAAAAUUGUGAGGGAAUCAUCAGUCACGCUGGAUUCAUCCCUGACUUAACAAGCAGAAAACUCCAAAACACAUGUGAACUCAGAUUCUCAGAAGAAGUGUCUGAUUUGUUCCCCGGCAUCACACCUGAAUCACACUCAUUUUCUUCCCAUUUCAUCCAAUGAAAUGAAUCACGACUGUUCGGUGUCGGGAACACAUUGGAAUCCAUUUCAUCUGCGGCCCGGGUCAUCGCGCCGGCUGACUCAUCGGCUGAAACGACACGGACCAUUUUUCUCCCGCAAAUUAAAGCUGAAAGAAGCAGGUCCUCCUCAGGCGGGCGGCUGCAAAACUCCAUCAGGAGAGAAGGAGCGCGACGGCUAAUGCCGGACGGAGCAGAGCUGGGAAUACUGCGGCGUAAGCGUCUGCUGAGAUGUACAUCAUCUCUCUGUUGGUUUGCGUUUUUCUGUUGUGUACAGUUAAGAAGCGAAGGCGAGGAGAGGUGGAGUGCUGUGCUAUUACGCACACGCCUACGCACACGGGAGACCCCCCGAGGCCCGGCGAUGCAGGUACCGUACUGGAGAUGAGAUCACGACACACGGGGGACUCCGGAGAGAGAACAGGUGCAGAACACAAGGACAGAGGACAGCUGCGCGAGUGUGACUGAUGAAGAAUGUGGUCUGCAUGAGGCAGCGAAGAAGAAAGAAAAAGAGAAGCACGGUGAGCUAACGCAGAACGAGAGGUAUGUGGAAUAAAACAUGAUUAUCUCGAGUGGGAGAGAAGAAGAAAAAGGUGAGACGGGAGGUGGAGAAGAAAAAAUAUAUAUCCCCCGUCUAUUCAGAAAGGUCAAAAGGUGUUGUAAUUAUUGUAAUUCUACGAGUGAGGGCUGAAAGAAAGAGAGGUGGCGUAUACAUGCUAUACGAUCUGAAUGUCAUGGUCAUCCAGUUUCAGCUGGCAGAGAGGAGACAAAGGAGCAGAACUGCACUUGAGGAAAAAGGAAGAAAAAAAGGGAAACGGCGGGUCAUUAGCUGAAUGCCAGGCCCCGGCUAAUGAAGGGAGAACUGGAGCACGGAGCAGAGCACCGGGGAGCUGAGCUAGCUUUUACUGUGCAUUCCUGUUCAGCCAGGGCCAACGUGUUCCUGCCGCCUGCUAUUCUGGUCUGAUUGGAGUGGUCUGAAGCACCCAGCGAGCUCAUUGUGCAGGAGUCGAGGGGGGUGGUGGUGGUGGUGGAGGAGGGAGAACCACAAGAGAGAUGCUUGCACCACGGGGGAUCGGGUUGCAGGGCUGAGGGUCACCAUCUCUGGCCUCCUUCGCGGGGCUGCAUUCCUCAGGCCACGCUGAUUCA